GGCUCGGUCGCGGAUGGUCCGCGUCUGCAUUCAGUGGAAAAAGCCUAAGCACAUGUGCACACGCAGAUAAUGCCCGUUCGAUUCGGGUCUGAGCCA